rnacentral:tRNA from 1 species
GCCUGUGUGGCUCAGUCGGUUGAGCGUCUGACUUCGGCUCAGGUCACGAUCUCGCAGUUUGUGAGUUCGAGCCCCGUGUCGGGCU